CUUCCUACGGGGGGCAGCAGUGGGGGAUAUUGGACAAUGGGGGGAACCCUGAUCCAGCGACGCCGCGUGAGUGAAGAAGUAUUUCGGUAUGUAAAGCUCUGUCAGCAGGGAAGAAAGCAAUGACGGUACCUGACCAAGAAGCCCCGGCUAACUACGUGCCAGCAGCCGCGGUAAUACGUAGGGGGCAAGCGUUAUCCGGAUUUACUGGGUGUAAAGGGCGUGUAGGCGGGCCUGCAAGUCAGAAGUGAAAUCUGGGGGCUUAACCCCUAAACUGCUUUUGAAACUGUGGGUCUUGAGUGAUGGAG
rnacentral:rRNA from 1 species